CUACGGGGGGCUGCAGUGGGGAAUAUUGGACAAUGGGCGCAAGCCUGAUCCAGCAAUACCGCGUGUGUGAAGAAGGCCUGCGGGUUGUAAAGCACUUUCGAUUGUGAAGAAAAGCGAGGGCUUAAUACGCUCUUGUCUUGACGUUAACUUUAGAAGAAGCACCGGCUAACUCUGUGCCAGCAGCCGCGGUAAUACAGAGGGUGCGAGCGUUAAUCGGAAUUACUGGGCGUAAAGCGUACGUAGGCGGUUUAGUAAGUCAGAUGUGAAAGCCCUGGGCUCAACCUGGGAACUGCAUUUGAAACUGCUAGACUAGAGUGUGGUAGAGGGAAGUGGAAUUCCGGGUGUAGCGGUGAAAUGCGUAGAUAUCCGGAGGAACACCAGUGGCGAAGGCGACUUCCUGGACCAACACUGACGCUGAGGUACGAAAGCGUGGGUAGCAAACAGGAUUAGAUACCCCGGUAGUC
rnacentral:rRNA from 1 species